rnacentral:rRNA from 1 species
GAUGAACGCUGGCGGCGUACCUAAUACAUGCAAGUCGAGCGAAUGGAUUAAGAGCUUGCUCUUAUGAAGUUAGCGGCGGACGGGUGAGUAACACGUGGGUAACCUGCCCAUAAGACUGGGAUAACUCCGGGAAACCGGGGCUAAUACCGGAUAACAUUUUGAACCGCAUGGUUCGAACUUGAAAGGCGGCUUCGGCUGUCACUUAUGGAUGGACCCGCGUCGCAUUAGCUAGUUGGUGAGGUAACGGCUCACCAAGGCAACGAUGCGUAGCCGACCUGAGAGGGUGAUCGGCCACACUGGGACUGAGACGCGGCCCAGACUCCUACGGGAGGCAGCAGUAGGGAAUCUUCCGCAAUGGACGAAAGUCUGACGGAGCAACGCCGCGUGAGUGAUGAAGGCUUUCGGGUCGUAAAACUCUGUUGUUAGGGAAGAACAAGUGCUAGUUGAAUAAGCUGGCACCUUGACGGUACCUAACCAGAAAGCCACGGCUAACUACGUGCCAGCCGCCGCAGUAA